rnacentral:rRNA from 1 species
UAAGACGUAGGGUCCGAGCGUUGUCCGGAUUUACUGGGCGUAAAGAGCGCGUAGGCGGAUCGUUAAGUGUGAAGUGAAAUCUCCAGGGCUCAACCCGGAAACUGCUUCGCAUACUGGCGAUCUGGAGGAAUGGAGAGGUGAGUGGAAUUCCUGGUGUACCGGUGAAAUGGGUAGAUAUCAGGAGGAACACCCAUGGCGAAGGCAGCUCACUGGCCAUUAUCUGACGCUGAGGCGCGAAAGCGUGGGUAGCAAACAGGAUUAGAUACCCUGGUAGUCCACGCCCUAAACGAUGGAUACUAGGCGUAAGAGGUAUCGACCCCUCUUGUGCCGCAGCUAACGCACUAAGUAUCCCGCCUGGGGAGUACGGCCGCAAGGUUG